UCGAACGUAAGAUGACUGUAGGUGAAAGCUUACAUCUCUUCGGUAGCAUUUUACGAGGUGCUGCAUGGUUGUCGUCAGCUCGUGCCGUGAGGUGUCGGGUUAAGUCCCAUAACGAGCGCAACCCUACCUUUAGUUGCCAUCAGGUAAUGCUGGGGACUCUAAAGGAACUGCCUACGCAAGUAGUGAGGAAGGCGGGGAUGACGUCAAAUCAGCACGGCCCUUACGUCCAGGGCUACACACGUGCUACAAUGGCCGAUACAGAGGGCAGCUACCUGGUGACAGGAUGCAAAUCUCCAAAGUCGGUCUCAGUUCGGAUCGGAGUCUGCAACCCGACUCCGUGAAGUUGGAUUCGCUAGUAAUCGCGCAUCAGCCAUGGCGCGGUGAAUACGUUCCCGGGCCUU
rnacentral:rRNA from 1 species